AUUGAACGCUGGCGGCAGGCCUAACACAUGCAAGUCGAACGAGUGGCGGACGGGUGAGUACUGUCUGGGAAACUGCCUGAUUGAGGGGGAUAACUACUGGAAACGUUAGCUACUACCGCAUACCAUCGGAUGUGCCCAGAUGGGCUUAGCUAGUAGGUGGGGUAAAGGCUCCCCUAGGCGACGAACCCUAGCUGGUCUGAGAGGAUGACCAGCAACACUGGAACGGAGACACGGGCCAGAGUCCUAAGGGAGGCAGCAGUGGGGAAUAUUGCACAAUGGGGGAAAGCCUGAUGCAGCCAUGGCGAGUGUAUGAAGAAGGCCUUCGGGUUGGAAAGUACUUGCAGCGGGGAGGCGUUACCCGCAGAAGAAGCACCGGCUAACUCCGUGCCAGCAGCCGCGGUAAUUC
rnacentral:rRNA from 1 species